GCAGAAACUUUGCCCACAAGAAAAAAAAUAACAGUAAACAUACAAACUGACAAAUAUAUCAAAUUAAGACACAAAGUACAUUCGUUGAAGAAAAGUGGAUCAUAAUGCAAACAUGCGGACCAAUGUUUUCCAUCUUCAGAAACCUCGGAGAUUAUCCUUUGGGUACCAAGACAGACACGUCCAGUGUUUACUGAACGCCUAGAAAAAAGCCUCAUUAUCUAAAUCAAGCAGUUUUACCCUAAACAAGAAUUAAAAAGAGUUAUUACACCAAGCUACAGACCAAAGAAUCCAUCGAGAGUACCAAGAUAUGAUUAGCAAUAGCUCAAACACAUACUGUGUAUCAAUGGAAUCUAAGAAAAUAAACUGCUAACUCGAUAUAUCUCAAACUCUAAUAAAAGAGGAAAAAGGGAAAAAAGGGAAUCUAAACAUAUCAUUAAACACCAU